rnacentral:rRNA from 1 species
UGGAAGUAAAAGUCGUAACAAGGUCUCCGUUGGUGAACCAGCGGAGGGAUCAUUACUGAGUUUACGCUCUAUAACCCUUUGUGAACAUACCUAUAACUGUUGCUUCGGCGGGUAGGGUCUCCGCGACCCUCCCGGCCUCCCGCCUCCGGGCGGGUCGGCGCCCGCCGGAGGAUAACCAAACUCUGAUUUAACGACGUUUCUUCUGAGUGGUACAAGCAAAUAAUCAAAACUUUUAACAACGGAUCUCUUGGUUCUGGCAUCGAUGAAGAACGCAGCGAAAUGCGAUAAGUAAUGUGAAUUGCAGAAUUCAGUGAAUCAUCGAAUCUUUGAACGCACAUUGCGCCCGCCAGCAUUCUGGCGGGCAUGCCUGUUCGAGCGUCAUUUCAACCCUCAAGCUCUGCUUGGUGUUGGGGCCCUACAGCUGAUGUAGGCCCUCAAAGGUAGUGGCGGACCCUCCCGGAGCCUCCUUUGCGUAGUAACUUUACGUCUCGCACUGGGAUCCGGAGGGACUCUUGCCGUAAAACCCCCCAAUUUUCCAAAGGUUGACCUCGGAUCANGUAGGAAUACCCGCUGAACUUAAGCAUAUCAAUAAGCGGA